UUCGGGCCUUGCAGAAGCUGUAAGGAGGAGACAGUUAUUAAAAGAAGGGCAGAGACCUGGAACAGACAGGGAGAGGCUGAUCCGGCUCGGAGCUGUCUCCACAGCUGCCCUCUCCCCAGGCGAGGCUCAGCCCUCAGCUGGCAUGGGGAGGGGGAAGAAAGGUCACUGCUCACUCCUGCCCCUUCCUUCCCCAUCUGAAACCCUGUGCUCCGUGGCCUUUAUGCUGGCAGAAAGGUUCCCGGAAGAACACCUGGGGUGUGAAGCAGCCCUGGGCUGGUGCUGAGCCCUGACAAAGGGAAAGACGCCGGCCAGCACCUGGGACCCGGGUCUGGGCUCCAGGUCCUGAGCUGAGUGGUCUGAAGUGAGCUCACAGCUGACACCAAGAGAAACAGAGGUGAGCCAGCAGAAGGCAGGUGUCAUUGCGGACAGGCCUCUUAGAGUAGCGUUCAAUAAUUAACAUCAUGUUAAUAACCAGCUUCAGUCCAAUUAGCCAAAGAUGUUAACUGAGUGACAUAAGAUACCAAACCCGGCCUCUCUACCUUGAGAGAAGCACUCUUACUUUCUAGAGUGGAGAUGAGAUGGUAAAAACCAGAAGUGAGUUUAUAUUCAGCACAUGGGUGUUUUUCUGGCAUUCUGAUUUAUACUAAAUAUUAGACACCAAACAGAAAAUGGCCAACACGGGCCUCCUGGAGGAUUCUGGCAUAUUCCGUCUCACAGACCACGGAGCCGGCUAGAAGAGAUGCGCUCAGCAUGGGUUGUACACCUGGAAGAAGGGUCACAAGAAGGCAGGGAAGAAGGCAGUGUCCGGACUCUGGGGCAAAGGUGGAAAGAGAACUGUACGAAGCAAAAGGAAGGGGCCAGGCUGCUUAUCCUAGAGGGAGCUGCGACUUCCCCAAGCACUACAGAAACCCCCUUUUCUGAGCCCAUCCACCCCACAACUGGGGGAAGGGCCAGGGCAGCCACUUUGCAUCCCACCAGCCCGAAGGAAACCUCCGAAGCCCUGAUGAAGCGCCCUUUCCUCAAUUCCCACAUCUUCCCAAGCGAUGCCCACCACUGGCCCUGUACUCCGCUCUCCGGCCUCAAACCUAGGCCCGGUAGGUGGUGGUAGCACUGUCCUGGGGCUGGACGCCAGGCCCAGCCCAAGUGGGCACUUCUCUCCCCUACCACGGGCUGCGGGGCUGCCAAGUUGGGCUCAAGGACCGAAUUUUCACUUCCUAUUGCGUAUGGGGCCGAGAAGAAAGAACUGUUCAGCUUGAUUUUAAAAUAUGACAAGGGAUCUGAGCCCUCUCUAAUCCUUCGAUCUUUAGAAAUACUUGAUUCUUUUUUGUAGGGGGGAGUGCAGAGUAGGCAUCAAGACUGCCUCUGAGACCCCCACACCCCCCACCCGGUUUGACUUUCCCACCAGCCCGCCGCCUGGGAAACGCGCCCUCGGCUGGCACAGGGGUACCAGAGCCCGGCUCCUUUCUUCCUUUCUUUCUUUUUUAAAUCGCUCUAGCGCAAACCAGGCAGUGGGUCAGGGCCCAGAGGCGGGGGAGGGAAGAGGCGAGGGUUGUCUCUGAAAGAGGGGAAAAAAAGGAAAGCGAGGCUCCAACUCCAGGAGAAGAACGGCCGCCGCAAGUUUCCCGGCUUGUGCCAGUUUGGGGAUUUGCGAAUCAGACCGGAGCGGAGGGACAGGCGGGCGAGAAAAAAAAGCCCGCAUUAAAACUAACCAGCUCUGCCUAAAAGCCCGCUUUUCACCCUUAAAUAAGACAAUGACGAGGGGAGAGAAGAGACGAGUUAUUUCUCACUCUUUAAUUAUUCCAAUGCUUAGCAUUAUUUAAAAAAAAAAAAAAAACCACACACAUUAGCCAAUGAUACAUUCUAACCCUCAACAAAGCUGGUAUUUUUCUCUGAUUACAGACUUUGCCGCGGCAAACCCGGGCUCCGACGACAGAGGCAGCGCCGAAGCGCGCUCCUAAAUGAGACACAAUUUUAUUAAAAUCAUAAUAAUUCCUUGCAUUUCUAUAGUGCCUUUUCAGCAGUGGAUACCCCAGGUGCCCAUGCCCGGUUCUACGAGGGAACUGGCGACCAAAAACUCAGUCGUGAGGCAGGCGAGGCUCGCCAGCUCCACAGAGUGCCACCGGCAUGUAUUUCCUUCUUUUUUUAACAGCUCGUUUCCAUCAGCCUCUGUCUCACGCUUAAAAAAAAAAAAAGAAAGUAACAAAACUCUUAAAAUCUUAAAAAUAUAUAUAUUUUUUUUUAAAGGAGGGAAAAGAUGACCUGUAAU